rfam:Myotis brandtii contig188293, whole genome shotgun sequence.
GGCGGUUCUCAGAUGACGCACUCUGGAAUCGGGCUCCCUCCUGGUUCCAGGUGCAUCACCCAAGAACCACA